rnacentral:rRNA from 1 species
ACGCAGGCGCUUGCACUCUGAGUGGCGCACGGCUGAGGAUCACGUGGGAACAUGCCUCCUUGUGGGGGACAACACCGCGAAAGCGGUGCUAAUCCCGCAUACGCUCGGCAACGAGGAAAGCGGUAACGCGCAGGGAAAGUGGCCCGCGGCCCAUCAGGUCGUUGGUGGGGUAAUGGCCUACCAAGCCGGUGACGGGUAGCUGGUCUGUGAGGACAGACAGCCAGACUGGGACUGAGACACGGCCCAGACUCCUACGGGAGGCAGCAGCAAGGAAUUUUCGUCAAUGGGCGCAAGCCUGAACGAGCAACGCCGCGUGGAGGAUGACGGCCUUCGGGUUGUAAACUCCUUUUUCGGGGGAUGAUAAUGACAGUACCCCGGGAAUAAGGCUCGGCUAACUCUGUGCCAGCAGCCGCGGAAAUACAGAGGAGCCAAGCGUUGUCCGGAUUGACUGGGCGUAAAGCGCACGCAGGCGGAUAUGCGCGUGGGGUGUGAAAUCUGGCCGCUUAACGGCCAGGCGCCAUCCCAUACGGCACGUCUGGAGGGCUGCAGAGGUCGAUGGAAUUGCCGGUGUAGUGGUGAA